rnacentral:tRNA from 1 species
GCCGGAGUGGUGAAACUGGUAGACGCGCUGGACUCAAAAUCCAGUGGGCCUCGCGCCCGUGAGAGUUCGAGUCUCUCCUCCGGCA